GGUGUCUGUAUGGCACACUGGGGUUAAGGGACAAGGCCACUUGCAGGUGGCAGGAGAUGCUCUGGGGGGUUCUGGCCAAGUCAAUUCCACCCAUCUGCUCCAAGGGUUGAGAGAGUCCUUAGGUGAGUCCUUACCUGCAAACCAUUUGCAGCACAACAGCCUUUCCUAGCACAUACAUUGGAAAACUCUGUAAUAAAGAAUAUUUAGCCCUUCCAAGUAUCAAUGUUAACUAUAUCAAUGCUUCUUAAAUUUUUAUAUGCUUGUGUAUCAUCUGGGUAUCUCACUAAAAAUGCAUAUUCUGAUUCAGUAGGUCUGAGAUGCUGCAUUUCUAACAAGUUCCCAGAUGAUGCCAGUGUGGUUCAUGGACUGCAUUUUUUGUAAUAAGGAACUGGAUGAUUUAUUAAUACAACUUGCUCUGAAAAAUUAUAGAAGAAUUCAAGUCACAGGAAAUUUCUUCACUUUUAAAAUUAGUUAGCAGAGCAUCAGAAACAGUAUAAAACAGCCUGUUUCAAAUUGUAAGUGCUCUAAUACUCUCAUUUGACUAAAUCUGCCUUGGUUCAGUUUCACAUAUGAAAUAUCUGAGAAACUUCAAAAGUGUUCUUCUUGAUAACCCUCUAAAGCCUAUUUUAAAGUGAUUUUAAUGGGCAGUUCCUUGUAUAAGGAACAGUUGCCUGGAGUGCAGAGAAUUACUACUAAAUUUGUUUUUCUUAUAAUCGAAGAAAGACCCUUAUGAAUGAGACGUGAUAGCUGAUUAUUUAGCAAGGCUUUUGUGCUAGAUUGAACAUACUCAAAGAAAAGCAUAAUUAUGUUAAAAAUUAUUAUAUUCUCCUAGUCCUUGCUAUAGAGAAGUUAUGCUAUUAAAGGAAUCACUCAACUUUAACAAAAUAUCCUUUCUCCUCAAAUUGUAACUAAAACUUUUUGCUCUAGAAAUUACUGUUUCUCUGUCAAUGAAUGCAGAUUCAGAGACGAUAGGUGAUAUGUUCCAUCUCCAAAUGGAAAUAAAUUUAAAAGCAAGUGCAAAAAUGACUUUAAGAUAAGUGAAAAGUGUUAUUAUAAUGUCUUUAAAAGAGGGAAAGAGUUCCCAAGAUUCAAAACAUUUUGAAAAUAAAAAUGUAAACUUUCCAUUUUUAAUACACACCAGUUUUUAAAGAAGAAAAAGGAUUGACAUACUAUGAUAUUGAAAAUGAAAUAUACGUCUAUUCAUAUUCAAAUUAUAGAAAUUUUGGAAAUUUUUGCCAGAAUACAUGUUUACAAAAGAUCCAAGCAUCUUUCUUGAAUGUCCUUGAAAAGUUUACUGAACAUUUGACAAUUUACUCUAUCAAUCUUUGUAAUAUGAGCAUCAGUUGGACCUUUGAACAUAAAUUGAAGAGUGGGGAAUGAGUUUGACAUUACUUAGAUAUCUGUUAUCUUUAGAGUAAUGUAAAUUAAAUCAUUUUCUGAAUGAAACUGUUUUGGGAAGGAAGGGUAGUUGUGGUAGUAAAUUUGAAAAGCUGAAAAAGAAAAUCGUUGUCUAACUUUAUAACCUGGGGAAGAAAGAAAGUAUGUGGGAAGACAAAUUAAUAAUUCUUGAGGCCUAAACAUUAAUAGUCAAUUGAAUAAAAUAUAUUAUGAAUGUUAACUGCAGAAUUCCAGUACCAAUAUAUGGCAGUCUUCUUCCUAAGCAGAACUAAAAAAUGUAGGUGGAGCUUUUUCUAUAUGAAGUAAAUAGUUAACCAAUUUCACAUGAAUCCUUUCUUUGAAGAUUGCAUAGAGAAAUCAUGGGACAAAGUGAAUGACUAUGGAUGAGUAGUUUUAUGGCCAAUAAAUUGUAGUACAUGGUGUGUUACAUUAGAGAAAAGGGCAGUCAGACUUCAUGCUUCAAAGUGUAAAUUGAUUACUCUCUUGGGCUCUGAUCAUAAAUCGUUUUUCUGGCCAUCUUAUUGUAAUUUCAUCCAAUUGGUAAAAAGCAGCUUUAAAAAAAGUGUAUUUGAAGAAUUAGACCACUAUAGUUAUCAGAUAAAAAAGCCCAGUAAACUUAUGUUUGCAUGAAGAAAAUAUGAAUUUAAGCCGGGUACCGUAGCUCAUGCCUGUAAUCCCAGCACUUUGGGAGGCCGAGGCAGGCAGAUCAUGAGGUCAAGAGAUCAAGGCCAUCCUGGCCAACAUGGUGAAGCCCCAUCUCUACUAAAAAUACAAAAAUUAGCUGGGCAUGGUGGCGUGUGCCUGUAGUCCCAGCUACUCGGGAGGCUGAGGCAGGAGAAUUGCUUGAACCUGGGAGGCAGAGGUUGCAGUGAGCCGAGAUUGCACCACUGCACUCCAGCCUGGCAACAGAGUGAGACUCCAUCUCAAAAAAAAAAAAAAAAAAAAAAAAGAAAGAAAGAAAGAAAGAAAAUAAUAUAUGAAUUUAACAUGGCUUAUAACAUCCAUAUUAAUUGCAUCAGUUUUGUUUAUGAAAAAAAUAAUAACACCCUAGAAACUAUUAUUCCUUUUGAAGUGACUACAGUUGAGGUAAUUACAUCCAGGUGAUGACUGGAUCAUGGAACAAAACUCUAUACAGCUAGAGUGCCAGUAAGGAAAAGAAACCUGAGCUACAUGAGCUGCCUCAGCGAGCUGGCACUAGUAUAGGCACUUUGCACAUAUGAUCUCAUAGAGAUAAUUAUUUUUAAGAAAGACCACAGUUAAUAAAAAUAGAAGCUCUCUGAAACAGUUAAGCAGAGCUUCCAGAAUAUUCCUUAUUUAAAUAUCAUGCAUAAUUGGAACAAAAAUAAAGAAUACUAUUACCUAAAUAGUAAGGGGAAUUUGUUGAUCUUCAAUGUUUCUCAAUCAGCAUUUCCUCCUGAUUUGAAUAUAACUGAGCAUUUCUUGCAGUUAAAACCUCCUAGAAUGUGUCCACAGAGCUGAAAUUGGCAAUAGCUUCACCAUUUUUCAUGAUUAAGUAUGUUCAGUAUUCUUAUUGGUUACCCAUUUCCUACUGGUCUUUCUGCUUACAAAAAGAUAGCUUUUACAAAUUAAAGAAACAAUCACUUACCUUCUGUGUCCCAACAACCCUCUCAUCACAAAGAUGAUAUUCAAAAUAUUUGCCUACUUAACGUAAGUAGCAACUAUUCAAAACACCAUACCAGUCCUCUCUGUAUAUUUACCAGCAUGACUAUCCUGCAUUAGUCAGGAAAUCAGGAGAAUGGAUAUUCUCCCCACCUAACCACCUUCAAUCCUAGCAUGUUACUCUUGAAUGUUGGAGUGCAUUAUUCUAUUGGUGUGUAGGAUUUGCAAACUCUAGGCACAUGCUAUAGACCUUCUGAGCUAGAGGGACAAAGGUCUGAGCGGCUGUAAUGGGUUGCUCUUAAAGUCAAUUUUGCUUUUCAUGGCAAAAAAUGUGCUGUACAAACCUUUCUAGCUGAUGUGGUGAAUUGAAAAUGAGGGGUUCUGUUUUCUGAACACAAAAUUCUAUUGCUUAAAUAAUCAGAGCUAUUAUAGAAAGAAAUAACACUCUGUUCAAUAAUAGCUGAGGCAGUGUGAGGUAGUAGAAAGAGCAGAGGCUUUAAACUUGAAUAAAUCUCGGUUUGAAGGUGGUUUUCCUACCUUGAUGAUCUUGAGUAUGUUACUUAUUCUAAUUUACUUCUAUUUCCUCAUCUGUAAUACGGAGAUAAAAAUGCUCCAUGG
rnacentral:lncRNA from 1 species